CCUACGGGAGGCAGCAGUGAGGCAUAUUGGUCAAUGGACGAGAGUCUGAACCAGCCAAGUAGCGUGAAGGAUGACUGCCCUAUGGGUUGUAAACUUCUUUUAUAUGGGAAUAAAAUGUUCCACGUGUGGGAUUUUGUAUGUACCCUAUGAAUAAGGAUCGGCUAACUCCGUGCCAGCCGCCGCGGUAAUACGGAGGAUCCGAGCGUUAUCCGGAUUUAUUGGGUUUUAAGGGAGCGUAGGUGGAUUUUUAAGUCAGUUGUGAAAGUUUGCGGCUCAACCGUAAAAUUGCAGUUGAAACUGGCAGUCUUGAGUACAGUAGAGGUGGGCGGAAUUCGUGGUGUAGCGGUGAAAUGCUUAGAUAUCACGAAGAACUCCGAUUGCGAAGGCAGCUCACUGGACUGCAACUGACACUGAGGCUCGAAAGUGUGGGUAUCAAACAGGAUUAGAUACCCCGGUAGUC
rnacentral:rRNA from 1 species